ACUCAAAUGAAUAGACGGGGGCCCGCACAAGCAGUGGAGUAUGUGGUUUAAUUCGAAGCAACGCGAAGAACCUUACCAGGGCUUGACAUCACCAUGAAUACCGUAGAGAUAUGGUAGUCCUUCGGGACGUGGUGACAGGUGGUGCAUGGUUGUCGUCAGCUCGUGUCGUGAGAUGUUGGGUUAAGUCCCGCAACGAGCGCAACCCCUGUUGUUAGUUGCCAUCAUUAAGUUGGGCACUCUAGCGAGACUGCCGGUGACAAAUCGGAGGAAGGUGGGGACGACGUCAAAUCAUCAUGCCCCUUAUGUCCUGGGCUACACACGUACUACAAUGGCCAUUACAGCAGGCAGCGAAAGCGUAAGCUGGAGCAAAUCCUUAAAAAUGGCCUCAGUUCAGAUUGUGGGCUGAAACCCGCCCACAUGAAGUCGGAAUUGCUAGUAAUUGCAGGUCAGCAUACUGCAGUGAAUACGUUCCCGGGCCUUGUACACACCGCCCGU
rnacentral:rRNA from 1 species